UAGCUAGUUGGUGAGGUAACGGCCCACCAAGGCGACGAUCGGUAGCCGGACUGAGAGGUUGAACGGCCACAUUGGGACUGAGACACGGCCCAGACUCCUACGGGAGGCAGCAGUGGGGAAUAUUGCACAAUGGGGGAAACCCUGAUGCAGCGACGCCGCGUGGAGGAAGAAGGUCUUCGGAUUGUAAACUCCUGUUGUUGAGGAAGAUAAUGACGGUACUCAACAAGGAAGUGACGGCUAACUACGUGCCAGCAGCCGCGGUAAAACGUAGGUCACAAGCGUUGUCCGGAAUUACUGGGUGUAAAGGGAGCGCAGGCGGGCGAUCAAGUUGGAAGUGAAAUCCAUGGGCUCAACCCAUGAACUGCUUUCAAAACUGGUCGUCUUGAGUAGUGCAGAGGUAGGCGGAAUUCCCGGUGUAGCGGUGGAAUGCGUAGAUAUCGGGAGGAACACCAGUGGCGAAGGCGGCCUACUGGGCACCAACUGACGCUGAGGCUCGAAAGUGUGGGUAGCAAACAGGAUUAGAUACCCUGGUAGUCCACACCGUAAACGAUGAUUACUAGGUGUUGGGAGAUUGACCCUCUCAGUGCCGCAGUUAACACAAUAAGUAAUCCACCUGGGGAGUACGACCGCAAGGUUGAAACUCAAAGGAAUUGACGGGGGCCCGCACAAGCAGUGGAGUAUGUGGUUUAAUUCGACGCAACGCGAAGAACCUUACCAAGUCUUGACAUCCCUUGACGAUGCUGGAAACAGUAUUUCUCUUCGGAGCAAGGAGACAGGUGGUGCAUGGUUGUCGUCAGCUCGUGUCGUGAGAUGUUGGGUUAAGUCCCGCAACGAGCGCAACCCUUAUGGUCAGUUACUACGCAAGAGGACUCUGGCCAGACUGCCGUUGACAAAACGGAGGAAGGUGGGGAUGACGUCAAAUCAUCAUGCCCUUUAUGACUUGGGCUACACACGUACUACAAUGGCGUUAAACAAAGAGAAGCAAGACCGCGAGGUGGAGCAAAACUCAGAAACAGCGUCCCAGUUCGGACUGCAGGCUGCAACUCGCCUGCACGAAGUCGGAAUUGCUAGUAAUCGUGGAUCAGCAUGCCACGGUGAAUACGUUCCCGGGCCUUGUACACACCGCCCGUCACACCAUGAGAGCCGGGGGGACCCGAAGUCGGUAGUCUAACCGCAAGGAGGACGCCGCCGAAGGUAAAACUGGUGAUUGGGGUGAAGUCGUAACAAGGUAA
rnacentral:rRNA from 1 species